rnacentral:siRNA from 1 species
ACAACUGUUAGCUUCUGAAU